CGCGGCCUAUCAGCUUGUUGGUGGGGUAAUGGCCUACCAAGGCGACGACGGGUAGCCGGCCUGAGAGGGCGACCGGCCACACUGGGACUGAGACACGGCCCAGACUCCUACGGGAGGCAGCAGUGGGGAAUAUUGCACAAUGGGCGCAAGCCUGAUGCAGCGACGCCGCGUGAGGGAUGACGGCCUUCGGGUUGUAAACCUCUUUCAGCAGGGAAGAAGCGCAAGUGACGGUACCUGCAGAAGAAGCGCCGGCUAACUACGUGCCAGCAGCCGCGGUAAUACGUAGGGCGCAAGCGUUGUCCGGAAUUAUUGGGCGUAAAGAGCUCGUAGGCGGUUUGUCGCGUCUGCUGUGAAAACUCGAGGCUCAACCUCGGGCUUGCAGUGGGUACGGGCAGACUAGAGUGCGGUAGGGGUGACUGGAAUUCCUGGUGUAGCGGUGGAAUGCGCAGAUAUCAGGAGGAACACCGAUGGCGAAGGCAGGUCACUGGGCCGCAACUGACGCUGAGGAGCGAAAGCAUGGGGAGCGAACAGGAUUAGAUACCCUGGUAGUCCAUGCCGUAAACGUUGGGCACUAGGUGUGGGGCUCAUUCCACGAGUUCCGUGCCGCAGCAAACGCAUUAAGUGCCCCGCCUGGGGAGUACGGA
rnacentral:rRNA from 1 species